rnacentral:rRNA from 1 species
UGCGUAACACGUGGAUAACCUUCCUUCAGGUGGGGAAUAACCCAGUGAAAACUGGGCUAAUACCUGCAUAACAUUGACGAUGUGCACAUGCUAGUUAGUCUUCAAAGGCGCCAAGUCAGCCAAGACAGCAGGGCAUCCAGCGGCCGCAUUAGCUUGUAAGAGCAGGGGUAAUGGCUCACCAAGGGCAUUGAUCGGUAGCCGGACUGAGGAGGUUGGCCGGCCACACAUGGAACUGAGACACGGUCCAGACUACCAUACGGGAGGCAGACAGUGGGGAAUCUUGACACAAUGGACGAAAGUCUGAUGCAGACAACGCCGACGUGGGGGAUGAAGCUUCUCGAGAGUGUAAAACCCUUUCGACCCGGACGAAUGCCCGCAAGGGAUUUGACGGUACGGGUAUAAGAAGCCCCGGCUAACUACGUGCCAG